rnacentral:rRNA from 1 species
AGGACGAACGCUGGCGGCGCGCUUAACGCAUGCAAGUCGAACGAGAUCCAUCCAGUGGCAACACUGGUGAAGAUCUAGUGGCGAACGGGUGAGUAACACGUGAGCAAUCUGCCCUUCACAUCGGAAUAACCAUUGGAAACGAUGGCUAAUACCGAAUACGACAAACGGAUCGCAUGAUCUGUUGUGGAAAGCUCCGGCGGUGAAGGAUGAGCUCGCGGCCUAUCAGCUUGUUGGUGAGGUAAUAGCUCACCAAGGCGAUGACGGGUAGCCGGCCUGGAG